ensembl:lncRNA
CUCUGGCUGUCAGCGCUGACUGCUCCCACUGUCCUGUUCUGCGAGUGCCUGGUUUCGCAGGUGCCUGGUUCUACGCAUCCCUGGUACCGCCUUCUGCCUCUGUGCGCUUCCGCCCCGUUUUUCUUCCUUCCGGUUUCUUCUCGCGUUAAGAGCCGCUUCCGGAGUCGCUGGGUCUCUGACCUUUACUGGGGUCAGUUCUCCGUGUUGAGGGGGGGAUCGGUGAGCCCGGGACUGUUGGGCAAGGGCCAGUGGGGGCGCCGUGUGCCCGGGAGUCUGUGCCCCGGCGGUCGGUGCCCGAUCGUGUGGAGGAGGUUACUGACUUCUUCAGAAUCACAGUUUGUUAGUGGCGAAGACUGGAAGUUGUGUCUCCCCACUCCAGAGAGACUGCCUGCUUUUCCACACGAGGAAAGGCAAAUUACUUUUAAAAAGAUCCUUUUGAGAAACGGCAACCAGGAUCAAGAAAUGAAAACGUAGACCUUUCAUUAAAGCAUUGCUUUUUAUCGUUUUCUGUGUAAUCAGUAAUCAAAGGUUUAGUAACAGUGGGGAAAUUGAUAAACAGUUUAAUCAGGAGUAUUUUUUUAAGUUUACUUAUUUUGGGGAGAGAGGGAGAAAGAGAGAGAACCCAGAAGAAGCAGAGAAAGAGGGAGAGAGAAUCCCAAGCCGGUUCAGCACUGUCAACGCAGAGCUGCCGUGGGGCUCGCUCCAUCCCACCAUCCCUGAGAUCUUGACCUGAAAGAGUAGAGGCUUAACUGACUGAGCCACCCAGGUGCCCCAGGUUGGGAGUAUUUUUUGUAGCAGUUUUUGGUGAAGACUUAAUGUUACUUCACUGAGUAUAAUGUUUUAUUUAAACCUACUUUUUAAUGUAAAAAUUUUUUGUGAACAUCAAGAGAGCUUUAAACUGUUAAAAAUCCCCAGGAAGCAAAUAUUUAGGUUUCCCAGUGAAAACUUGUAUGCCCAGCAGCCAUUACAUGAUUGUGUCAGAGUCCUAUUAGAUAGUUGUUCUUCGAGCAUCUGCUGUCCUUUCUGAAGGUGAAAGGCACUGACGCUCUUCCUAUCUAUUGGGUUGUAUAGUUUUAUAGGGCAGGAGCAUUCAGGAGCCACCAGGCAGGCCAUCCGUCGUUUAGUUAGAGGACGCAUUCCUCCGUAACUCAGCACAGCACCAGAGUUGUCUACACUUUUCCAAGACAGCAGAAAAUGAACAAAUCCCAGGUAAGUUCUUCAUUCCCCACAUCAUUUUGCAGUGGACUUGGUGAGAUUUGUGAGUCCCAUACUAAUGGGAAAUUAGCAAUAGAUAGAAAUCUACCUUUACAGAAAGUAGUGACAGAUCAAUAGCAAGACUAAGGUGGCUUGUAGAUACAUACAGAUCAUUCUAUAUCUUAGAGUUUCUAAACUGAGCUACAAAUAACAUCUCUGUUGUUUCUGAUAAUCAUGGAGAAAGGAAGACAGUCUUUUGGAUAAAGACAGAAUUGUGACACAAGAAGCACAAAGACUUCUUGGAUGAUAUCUUUUUUAUCUUUUAACCUUCCUGUGACAGCCCUGAAAUGAGUGCCUAAAACUAUUCCUCACUGAAAGUAAAAGGGUCCAAGAGAUAGCUCAAGUAGUUAAUUUAAUGAUAGUCUUGUUCGAUCCUGGUAUUAAACCUGAUACGUUUAGGGGUGCUUAGGUGGCUCAGUAGGUUGAGCUUUUGAGUUUGGCUAGGUCAGGAUCUACACUCCGGUGAGUUUGAGCCCCACGUCAGGCUCUGUGCUGACAGCUCAGAGCCUGGAGCCUGCUUCAGAUUCUGUGUCUCCCUCUCUCUCUCUCACCCUCCCCUGUUCAUACUCUGUCUCUCUCUGUCUCAAAAAUAAAUAAAAUGUUUAAAAAAAAAAAAAAAAAGAA